ACGGCUCAGUAACACGUAGUCAACAUGCCCAGGGGACGUGGAUAACCUCGGGAAACUGAGGAUAAACCGCGAUAGGUCAUCACUUCUGGAAUGGGUAAUGACUUAAACCUAUAUGGCCCCUGGAUUGGACUGCGGCCGAUCAGGCUGUUGGUGAGGUAAUGGCCCACCAAACCUGUAACCGGUACGGGCUCUGAGAGGAGGAGCCCGGAGAUGGGCACUGAGACAAGGGCCCAGGCCCUAUGGGGCGCAGCAGGCGCGAAACCUCUGCAAUAGGCGAAAGCUUGACAGGGUUACUCUGAGUGAUUUCCGUUAAGGAGAUCUUUUGGCACCUCUAAAAAUGGUGCAGAAUAAGGGGUGGGCAAGUCUGGUGUCAGCCGCCGCGGUAAUACCAGCACCCCGAGUGGUCGGGACGUUUAUUGGGCCUAAAGCAUCCGUAGCCGGUUCUACAAGUCUUCCGUUAAAUCCACCUGCUUAACAGAUGGGCUGCGGAAGAUACUAUAGAGCUAGGAGGCGGGAGAGGCAAGCGGUACUCGAUGGGUAGGGGUAAAAUCCGUUGAUCCAUUGAAGACCACCAGUGGCGAAGGCGGCUUGCCAGAACGCGCUCGACGGUGAGGGAUGAAAGCUGGGGGAGCAAACCGGAUUAGAUACCCGGGUAGUCCCAGCUGUAAACGAUGCAGACUCGGUGAUGAAUUGGCUUAUUGCUAAUUCAGUGCCGCAGGGAAGCCGUUAAGUUUGCCGCCUGGGGAGUACGGUCGCAAGACUGAAACUUAAAGGAAUUGGCGGGGGAG
rnacentral:rRNA from 1 species